CGUCUGCCAUCUUGGGCAUGGCUGUUAGGCCCCCUAGCUUCAGCCGCCAUGUCUUCGUCAGGGCCUUGGGGUGAGGACCGGGAUCACCCCCACCGGUCUAGAGGGGGGGGGACAGGGCCUUGUCCACACUCGUUUGGGCCCAUGGCUGGGUUCUGUUAGGCAGGAUAGUGGGGCAGCGGCCGUCUGCCCCUCUCACCGCCGGAGUAGGCCUCGAUUGUGGCAUCGGUGCCCUCUCCUCCAGGGGACUGCAGCUCGAUAAGCCAGCCUCACCCUGGAUCCAGUGUCCCUUUAGCUCUGUGGACCGCCGCUGGUGGUUGGUUCUGGUGCUGGAAAUCAUAGUUUCAAAGCCUAGAGUUUGAUGGCUUGCAGGAGCUCAGCAUGCAUGCUGCCAUCCAGCUCGGCGGUCGGGCCCCGCCCCCA